rnacentral:rRNA from 1 species
ACUCGUAGCGCCUGUCGCGUCGAAGUGGAAAGCCCACUGCUUAACGGUGAGUCUGCUCCGGUACGAGCAGGCUAGAGUAUGGCAGGAGAGACUAGAAUUCCCUGGUGUAGCGGUGGAAUGCGCAGAUAUCAGGAGGAACACCGGUGGGCGAAGGCAGGUCUCUGAGCCAUUACUGACGCUGAGGAGCGAAAGCGUGGAGAGCGAACAGGAUUAGAUACCCUGGUAGUGCACGCCGUAAACGUUGGGCGCUAGGUGUGGGGACUGUUUCCACGGUCUCCGUGCCGGAGCUAACGCAUUAAGCGCCCCGCCUGGGGAGUACGGCCGCAAGGCUAAAACUCAAAGGAAUUGACGGGGGCCCGCACAAGCGGCGGAGCAUGCGGCUUAAUUCGAUGCAACGCGAAGAACCUUACCAGGGCUUGACAUGCACGGUGCACCUCUAGAGAUAGAGGGUCCUUUGGGGUCGUGCACAGGUGGUGCAUGGUUGUCGUCAGCUCGUGUCGUGAGAUGUUGGGUUAAGUCCCGCAACGAGCGCAACCCUCGUCCUGUAUU